rnacentral:lncRNA from 1 species
CCCUGGCUUCCCUGGCCCUCAGGAGGUAGUGGGAACAGCUGCAAUGGAAAAGACCCAUAGAGGAGGAGCAAGGGUCUAGCAAAGUGGAUAUGCUUCUGGGCUGAGAGCUCUGAGUUUCUCUUCCCUCUGCCUCCUGGUUGGGUUGAGAAUGAAAAGAGCUGGAAGCAGCUUGGAGGAAGGGCUUGUCCGGCACCGCAGAGGCAUGGGAGCCAUUUCUUGGAUGCUGGGCUCAUGGCUCAGACUUCCAAUGUAACUGCUGUACAAAUUGUCAGCCUGACCUCUCUCUGCACCUGUCCUGUUUGGAGGACGACAUUUUCAAAAACAGCCCAACAAUUCAUGCCUACAAGAGCCCUUGGAAGCAAUAAUGGAGCAAUAACCACCCACCUGUUUCUGGACUCACAAACCAGGUAACUUGUCAUGAGAAGCCACCUGUGUUUGUGUGUGUGCUCAUUCCCAUGUGUACCCAAACUCCUGGUUGAAGCUGCACCUUUGAAAUCACUCUUACAGAAGGCAAUUUAAUUUCAAGAAAUUAGCAGGAGAUGCAGAAGGAAUGAAGGCUGCUUUCCAAGGUUGCUGCGACUCUCUCCUUUCUGGCCUUUUCCAUCCAGGUGACUAGGACCAGGGAGAGAAAUUUCUGAUGUCUACUAGAGAGCUGUUCUU